GCAUCAUUGGUCUAGUGGUAGAAUUCAUCGUUGCCAUUUGACUCCCCGAGAAAUCCUCUUGAAGUAGUCAUGUGAUCCAACUCGAUGAGGCCCGUGUUCGAUUCACGGAUGAUGCA